CGCAUCGGUGCCAUGUUCUGUGACUGACUGGGCUGGCGCCGGACUGGGGGGUGCCCGCCGGUCGGUCACAGAGCACGGGACCGGCCGCAU
rnacentral:miRNA from 14 species